rnacentral:rRNA from 1 species
CCUACGGGGAGCAGCAGUGGGGGAUAUUGCACAAUGGGGGGAACCCUGAUGCAGCGACGCCGCGUGUGGGAAGACGGUCCUCUGGAUUGUAAACCACUGUCCCCAGGGACGAAAAUGACGGUACCUGGGGAGGAAGCUCCGGCUAACUACGUGCCAGCAGCCGCGGUAAUACGUAGGGAGCGAGCGUUGUCCGGAAUUACUGGGUGUAAAGGGAGCGUAGGCGGGGAUGCAAGUUGGGUGUAAAAACUACCGGCUCAACUGGGAGUCGCACUCAAAACUGCAGCUCUUGAGUGAAGUAGAGGCAGGCGGAAUGCGUAGUGUAGCGGUGAAAUGCGUAGAUAUUAGGAGGAACACCAGUGGCGAAGGCGGCCUGCUGGGCUUUUACUGACGCUGAGGCUCGAAAGUGUGGGGAGCAAACAGGAUUAGAUACCCUUGUAGUC